ACUCCUGUAGCUUAGUGGUUAGAGCGCCAAGCUUAUAUGGACAUUGUCGAUUUCGGCAGCCUGUAUGAAACCCUCUUGGAGGUCGGCAGUUCGACCCUGCCCAGGAGUA